rnacentral:rRNA from 1 species
GAGAUUUCCCGGGCACUCUGUUUGGACCGCCUCCGUUUAAGGAGGAGGAAGGAGAGGGCGACGGUACGUCAGUAUGCCCCGAAUCUCCAGGGCUACACGCGGCAUACAGAGGCUGCUACAAUGGGUUGCCACGCCGAAAGGCGGAGCUAAUCCCCCAAAAACAGUCAAAGUCCGGAUUGAGGGCUGAAACUCGCCCUCAUGAAGCUGGAAUCCCUAGUAAUCUCUUGUCACUAUCGAGAGGUGAAUGUGUCCCCGCUCCUUGCACACACCGCCUGUCAAGUCACCCAAGCGAGGUUCUAGUGAGGCAGCGCCUACGGCGUUUUCGAACUAGUGCUUUGUGAGGGGGGCUAAGUCAUAACAAGGUAUCCGUAGGGGAACCUGCGGAUAGAUCACCUCGA